GCUGUAAGCAGUCAUGUGAGAGCUGUAGUCAUGUGAGAGCUGUAGAGCUGCCGGCGCAUGCGCUCUACCGACACUAGGACGUGGAGUUGCAGAAUAUGAAUAUGCUAAAUAAGGGGAAGACUGAUUGACAAGACGGAAAGAAGCAGGGGCGGCCAGCCAGCGGGACCCCGCCUACUGCGCGUGACUCCCUGAAUUCAGAGAGGGAAAUUCGCCAGCCACUAUUUUGGGAAACACAGCACCAAUAAUAGGCAUGCUAUAAAGUCAAAGAGAAACAGGAUUCCCCUUCUGUGGCUGAUGUUAUGAGAGACAGCAUAGCAGCUAUUCUACAUCACCAGCUCAGGGAGCACAAUCUAGCAUCAGAAUGUUUUUGGACUGUGGGAGGAAACCGGAGCACCCGAGGGAAUCCCAGGCAAACAUAUUGAGAACAUACAAACUGAAUUGAGUUCACGCGAGAUGUCAAUUACUAUGUAAACGGUGCUGGGUGUCGGAAGUGUCCGGCAACUACUCGCCUGUCUACCCCUUUGUGAGAGGAAGGAAGAAGGAUCAGCCUCCGGGAUGCCCGAGAAAGG